UACGGAGGAUGCAAGCGUUAUCCGGAUUUAUUGGGUUUAAAGGGUGCGUAGGUGGGAUUAUAAGUCAGAGGUGAAAUAUUGCAGCUUAACUGUAAAAUUGCCUUUGAUACUGUAGUUCUUGAGUUCAGUUGAGGUGGGCGGAAUGUGUAAUGUAGCGGUGAAAUGCUUAGAUAUUACACAGAACACCGAUUGCGUAGGCAGCUCACUAAGCUGAUACUGACACUGAGGCACGAAAGCGUGGGGAU
rnacentral:rRNA from 1 species